GAAGGGGGCUAGCGUUGCUCGGAAUCACUGGGCGUAAAGGGUGCGUAGGCGGGUCUUUAAGUCAGGGGUGAAAUCCUGGAGCUCAACUCCAGAACUGCCUUUGAUACUGAAGAUCUUGAGUUCGGGAGAGGUGAGUGGAACUGCGAGUGUAGAGGUGAAAUUCGUAGAUAUUCGCAAGAACACCAGUGGCGAAGGCGGCUCACUGGCCCGAUACUGACGCUGAGGCACGAAAGCGUGGGGGGGAGCAAACAGGAUUAGAUACCCUGGUAGUCCACGCCGUAAACGAUGAAUGCCCAGCCGUUAGUGGGUUUACUCACUAGUGGCGCAGCUAACGCUUUAAGCAUUCCGCCUGGGGAGUACGGUCGCAAGAUUA
rnacentral:rRNA from 1 species